rnacentral:misc_RNA from 1 species
UAGUGAAUUGUAUCCAAUUACCAC